GCUCCAAUAGCGUAUAUUAAAGUUGUUGCAGUUAAAAAGCUCGUAGUUGAAUUUCUGGCCAGCGCUGCUCUCGGCUCUCUGAGUCGGUUCAGUGUUUGGUCAUCCGUAUGGGAAGCUAGCUCGGCCUUCACUGGUCGGCUAGUGGAUCAUACACUUUACUUUGAAAAAAUUAGAGUGUUUCAGGCAGGCAAUUGCUUGGA
rnacentral:rRNA from 1 species